rnacentral:rRNA from 1 species
GACGAACGCUGGCGGCGUGCCUAAUACAUGCAAGUCGAGCGGACGUUUUUGAAGCUUGCUUCAAAAACGUUAGCGGCGGACGGGUGAGUAACACGUGGGCAACCUACCUUAUCGACUGGGAUAACUCCGGGGAACCGGGGCUAAUACCGGAUAACAUCUAGCACCUCCUGGUGCCGGAUUAAAAGAGGGCUUCUUGCUCUCACGAUGAGAUGGGCCCGCGGCGCAUUAGCUAGUUGGAGAGGUAACGGCUCCCCAAGGCGACGAUGCGUAGCCGACCUGAGAGGGUGAUCGGCCACACUGGGACUGAGACACGGCCCAGACUCCUACGGGAGGCAGCAGUAGGGAAUCUUCCGCAAUGGACGAAAGUCUGACGGAGCAACGCCGCGUGAGUGAUGAAGGGUUUCGGCUCGUAAAGCUCUGUUAUGAGGGAAGAACACGUACCGUUCGAAUAGGGCGGUACCUUGACGGUACCUCAUCAGAAAGCCACGGCUAACUACGUGCCAGCAGCCGCGGUAA